rnacentral:rRNA from 1 species
UGGGGAAUCUUGCACAAUGGGGGAAACCCUGAUGCAGCGACGCCGCGUGAGCGAUGAAGCCCUUCGGGGUGUAAAGCUCUUUCGGCAGGGACGAUAAUGACGGUACCUGAAGAAGAAGCUGCGGCUAACUACGUGCCAGCAGCCGCGGUAAUACGUAGGCAGCGAGCGUUGUUCGGAGUUACUGGGCGUAAAGAGUGCGUAGGCGGUUUUCUAAGUUUGGUGUGAAAUCUCCCGGCUUAACUGGGAGGGUGCGCCGAAAACUGGAAGGCUUGAGUAUGGGAGAGGUAAGCGGAAUUCCUGGUGUAGCGGUGAAAUGCGUAGAUAUCAGGAGGAACACCUGCGGUGUAGACGGCUUACUGGACCAUAACUGACGCUGAGGCACGAAAGCGUGGGUAGCAAACA